AGGUACGACCCCAAAAACUCAAACUGAACUGAUAUGACAAUGACCGAUCGAUAUAGGUGUGGUCCCAAAAACUCAAAGUGACAUGACAAUGAAUGACAAGAUGAAUGACCGAUCGAUAUAGGUGCGGUCCCGAAACUUAAGUUAAACUAACAAGAUAGCAAGAAUGACCGAUCGAUAUAGGUGCAAUCCCAACUCGAACUAAACACAAACUG
rnacentral:lncRNA from 1 species